rnacentral:tRNA from 3 species
CCGACCUUAGCUCAGUUGGUAGAGCGGAAGACUGUAGAUCUUUAGGUCGCUGGUUCGAAUCCGGCAGGUCGGA